AGUAUGCUUUAACCGCUCGGCGUCGGUUUUUUUUAAGCUUUAGCACCGAACGCUGGCGAGUCUGAGUGUAGAG
rfam:Novibacillus thermophilus strain SG-1, complete genome.